rnacentral:rRNA from 1 species
GGCUACCACAUCUAAGGAAGGCAGCAGGCACGCAAAUUACCCACUCCCAGUUCGGGGAGGUAGUGACGAAAAAUACUGAUGCGGGACUCGUUCCGAGGCCUCGCCAUCAGAUUGAGCUCAGUCUAAACCAUUGGACAAGUUUCGACUGGAGGGCAAGUCUGGUGCCAGCAGCCGCGGUAAUUCCAGCUCCAGUAGCGUAUGCUAAAGUUGCUGCGGUUAAAAAGCUCAUAGUUGGAUCUCACGGCCGGAACGGCGGCCCACUAAAGGUUUCGACCAGCGCCGAGGCUAGUCGGUGUACUCGUUACGCUUGGCUUCCGCGGUUUGCUUGCGUCUGCCUGGUGGUCAACUGUCCGUCUCCGGCUCGAGACUCCCGCUGGUUCGCGAGGGAUGCCUUGUCUUGUACGGGUGUCCCGAGUGACCGGCACGUUCACUUUGAAUAAAUUAGAGUGCUCAAAGCAGGCAAAGUCUUAUGCCUGAAUGAUGGUGCAUGGAAUGAUGGAACAGGACCUCGGUUCUGCUCUUUGGUCGAUUUUUUGGAAUCGAGGUAAUGAUUAAAAGAAACAGACGGGGGCAUUCGUAUUGCGACGCUAGAGGUGAAAUUCUUGGACCGUCGCAAGACGAACUACUGCGAAAGCAUUUGCCAAGAAUGUUUUCCUUAAUCAAGAACGAAAGUUAGAGGAUCGAAGGCGAUCAGAUACCGCCCUAGUUCUAACCAUAAACGAUGCUACCUGGCGAUCCGUCGGCGUCAUACCCACGACUCGACGGGGAGCCUCCGGGAAACCAAAGGCUUUGGGUUCCGGGGGAAGUAUGGUUGCAAAGCUGAAACUUAAAGGAAUUGACGGAAGGGCACCACCAGGAGUGGAGCCUGCGGCUUAAUUUGACUCAACACGGGGAAACUUACCAGGUCCAGACACCGAAAGGAUUGACAGAUUGAGAGCUCUUUCUCGAUACGGUGGUUGGUGGUGCAUG